AACAGAAAUUUGACUUUAUUUAAAAGUAUUGUUGUUAAAUACUGUAGACAUCGAUCCGUUCAAAAUCCAUGUAAAAACAACUUAUAGCCUAUUUAACAAGAAAAUUAAGUAUGCCUAGCGCAAAUAUGACUAUUUAAGCCCCGCCCCUCAGUUCUGUUCUAUGACUGCGGUUAUGAAACUGCUGGUGCUGCGGGUCUGCAGCUGGAUAUGUCUCACCAGGGGGGUAAAACUGUUUGGGGCGUAUAUCUACCGGCUCCAGGUCUGCAGCCUCCCCAUACUCGUCAAACGUCACAUCACUAAUGAACAGGAGCAUUAUCCGGCUGAAAGAGGCCACAGCCACCAGGGAGUACCGUUUCCAUGAAAGGGUGUACAUGGUCUGCAUCAAUGCUUAGGUAGGUGGUACGUGUGGUAAGUGGUACAUCCUCUGACAAAUCUUCCACCUGCCAAACCAGAAGAUGUGGCCCUUUUUCUUUCUUUCUUUUAUCAUCAGACC